rnacentral:lncRNA from 1 species
AAGAUGGCGGCGUUUGCACGGAGUGCAAUCACUGCGUCCUUACGGGGGUUGCAAGGCGUCCGAAGUAUGAGUCCACUAACAAAAGUCCAGAAACUCGCCAGUUAAUAGUAUUGUGUCUCUUCAAAAUAUCGGAGAAUAAUUUCUUUCUCGCUGAUCGCCUAACUUCUACUGACGAAGCUUGGAAGUUGCAGAAGAAAUACAAAAAAAAUUCUAAAACUUGUAUGGAACUACAAAAGACAUUAAAUAAUCAAAGUAAUCUUGAGCAACAAGGACACAGCUGGAGGCAUCACUCUACCUGAUUUUGUAAUCCAUUAUCAAAAAACUGUGGUACCAGCAUAAAAACAGAUUCACUGACCAGUGGAACAGGAAAGCCCAGACAUAACUCAUACAUUUCCAUCCAAUUGAUUUUUGACAAAAGUGGCACACAGAAUGGGGAGAGGACAAAUAAAUAAAUAAAUUGUUUUGAGAUAUCUGUA